rnacentral:rRNA from 1 species
UGAAUACGAGACGCUAAGGCGUCGAAGUAGUGUAUGUCAUACUUCCAAGAAAAGCUUGCACUGUCAUAGAUAAAAAACGCCUGUACCAUAACCGACACAGGUGGGUAGGUAGAGUAUACUAAGGGGCGCGAGAUAACUCUCUCUAAGGAACUCGGCUAAAUAACUCCGUAACUUCGGGAGAAGGAGUGCCUUAUUCGUAAGGUUGCAAUAACAAGAUCCAAGCAACUGUUUAUCAAAAACACAGGUCUCCGCUAAGUCGUAAGACGAUGUAUGGGGGCUGACGCCUGCCCAGUGCCAGAAGGUUAAAGAAGUUGGUUAGCAAUUGCGAAGCUGAUAACUGAAGCCCUGGUGAACGGCGGCCGUAACAAUAACGGUCCUAAGGUAGCGAAAUUCCUUGUCGGGUAAGUUCCGACCCGCACGAAAGGCGUAAUGAUUUGGAUACUGUCUCGGAGAGGGGCUCGGUGAAAUAGACUUGUCUGUGAAGAUGCGGACUACCUGCACCAGGACAGAAAGACCCUAUGAAGCUUUACUGUAACUUGAAAUUGAAAUUGGACUUUAUUCGCGCAGUAUAGGUGGGAGGCGUUGAUUAUAAUCUUGUGGGAUUAUUGGAGCCAUCAGUGAGAUACCACUCUUGUAAUGUUAGAUUUCUAACUUUGAAUCAUUAUCUGGUCAAAGAACAGUUUCAGGCGGGCAGUUUGACUGGGGCGGUCGCCUCCUAAACGGUAACGGAGGCGUACAAAGGUUUCCUCUGAACGGUUAGAAAUCGUAUCUAGAGUGUAAAGGCAUAAGGAAGCUUGACUGUGAGACCUACAAGUCGAGCAGGGACGAAAGUCGGUCUUAGUGAUCUGACGGUACUGAGUGGAAAGACCGUCACUCAACGGAUAAAAGUUACUCUAGGAUAACAGGCUGAUCUCCCCCAAGAGUUCACAUCGACGGGGAGGUUUGGCACCUCGAUGUCGGCUCAUCGCAUCCUGGGGCGGUAGUACGUCCCAAGGGUUGGGCUGUUCGCCCAUGAAAGCGGUACGCGAGCUGGGUUCAGAACGUCGUGAGACAGUUCGGUCCAUAUCCGGUGUAGGCGUUAGAAUAUUGAGAGGAGCCUUCUUUAGUACGAGAGGACCGAGAAGGACAUAUCUCUGGUGUACCAGUUAUCGUGCCAACGGUAAACGCUGGGUAGCUAUGUAUGGAGUGGAUAACCGCUGAAAGCAUCUAAGUGGGAAGCCCACCUCAAGAUAAG